UACGGAGGGGGCUAGCGUUGUUCGGAAUUACUGGGCGUAAAGCGCGUGUAGGCAGUUUCGCAAGUCGGGUGUGAAAGCCCUGGGCUCAACCUAGGAAGUGCACUCGAAACUGCGAGACUUGAGUCCUGGAGAGGAAGGCGGAAUUCUCGGUGUAGAGGUGAAAUUCGUAGAUAUCGAGAGGAACACCGGUGGCGAAGGCGGCCUUCUGGACAGUGACUGACGCUGAGACGCGAAAGCGUGGGGAGCAAACAGG
rnacentral:rRNA from 1 species